UGUUCUAGGUUCAAUAU
rnacentral:sRNA from 1 species